rnacentral:rRNA from 1 species
GGAUCCAGACUUUGCUCAUGGCUCAGAUUGAACGCUGGCGGCAUGCCUUACACAUGCAAGCCGAACGGCAGCACGGAGCUUGCUCUGGUGGCGAGUGGCGAACGGGUGAGUAAUAUAUCGGAACGUACCCUUGGGUGGGGGAUAACGUAGCGAAAGUUACGCUAAUACCGCAUACGAUCUACGGAUGAAAGUGGGGGCUUCGCAAGAACCUCAUGCUCAUGGAGCGGCCGAUAUCUGAUUAGCUAGUUGGUAGGGUAAAAGCCUACCAAGGCAUCGAUCAGUAGCUGGUCUGAGAGGACGACCAGCCACACUGGAACUGAGACACGGUCCAGACUCCUACGGGAGGCAGCAGUGGGGAAUUUUGGACAAUGGGCGAAAGCCUGAUCCAGCAAUGCCGCGUGAGUGAAGAAGGCCUUCGGGUUGUAAAGCUCUUUUGUCAGGGAAGAAACGGUGGUUUCUAAUACAGAUCACUAAUGACGGUACCUGAAGAAUAAGCACCGGCUAACUACGUGCCAGCAGCCGCGGUAAUACGUAGGGUGCAAGCGUUAAUCGGAAUUACUGGGCGUAAAGCGUGCGCAGGCGGUUAUGUAAGACAGAUGUGAAAUGCCCGGGCUUAACCUGGGAACUGCAUUUGUGACUGCAUGGCUAGAGUUUGGCAGAGGGGGGUAGAAUUCCACGUGUAGCAGUGAAAUGCGUAAAUAUGUGGAGGAACACCGAUGGCGAAGGCAGCCCCCUGGGUCAAGACUGACGCUCAUGCACGAAAGCGUGGGGAGCAAACAGGAUUAGAUACCCUGGUAGUCCACGCCCUAAACGAUGUCUACUAGUUGUCGGGUCUUAAUUGACUUGGUAACGCAGCUAACGCGUGAAGUAGACCGCCUGGGGAGUACGGUCGCAAGAUUAAAACUCAAAGGAAUUGACGGGGACCCGCACAAGCGGUGGAUGAUGUGGAUUAAUUCGAUGCAACGCGAAAAACCUUACCUACCCUUGACAUGGCUGGAAUCCCUGAGAGAUUGGGGAGUGCUCGAAAGAGAACCAGUACACAGGUGCUACAUGGCUGUCGUCAGCCCAUGUCGUGAGAUGUUGGGUUAAGUCCCGCAACGCGCUCAACGC